rnacentral:rRNA from 1 species
UACGGAGGGGGCGAGCGUUAUUCGGAAUUAUUGGGCGUAAAGGGCGCGAUAGGCGGCCUCCGUAAGUCAGACGUGGAAAUCCCCCGGCUUAACCUGGGAACUGCGUCUGAUACUGGGAGGCUAGAGUGCGGGGAGAGGGAUGCGGGAAAUUCCAGGUGUAGCGGUGAAAAUGCGUAGAUAUCUGGAGGAACACCGGUGGCGAAGGCGGCAUCCUGGACCGACACUGACGCUGAGGCGCGAAAGCUAGGGUAGCAAACGGGG